UUGAAAAGAAUUUUCAAGUCUUUACUGAUCGUAAACUCUCCCUCUUCUCAUCGAAGUUCAGGUAACGCCUGACAACCUCUUUGUUACGAAACUGUUUUCUUUCUUACUCUUGAUUCUGCUUUUCUUAAAUCCUGUAUCCAUUCAGGUUAUCUUUGUGGUGUAUUGAAGAACCACUAUUGAAGUGUAGGAUAGCGCCUACCAAUCGAUGAUCAGGAUCGCGCCUGAUAUUUCGUGAACAUGUCUGUUACUCUUUCCCCUUCUGGGGAUUGUUUUUCUUUCAAUCAUGUUAAAUAUAAUAAUAGUUUAAAUAAGUAUCUAUUUUAUAAUAGUAACUUAGAUAUCGUCCUUGACGAUUUUGAUUUUUAUUUUAAUUCUUUUGUAAAUGAUAAAAUGUUUUCUUCAAAAAGC
rnacentral:misc_RNA from 1 species